GAUGAACGCUGGCGGCGUGCCUAAUACAUGCAAGUCGAGCGAACAGACGAGGAGCUUGCUCCUCUGACGUUAGCGGCGGACGGGUGAGUAACACGUGGAUAACCUACCUAUAAGACUGGGAUAACUUCGGGAAACCGGAGCUAAUACCGGAUAAUAUAUUGAACCGCAUGGUUCAAUAGUGCAUGACGGUUUUGCUGUCACUUAUAGACGGAUCCGCGCCGCAUUAGCUAGUUGGUAAGGUAACGGCUUACCAAGGCAACGAUGCGUAGCCGACCUGAGAGGAUGAUCGGCCACACUGGAACUGAGACACGGUCCAGACUCCUACGGGAGGCAGCAGUAGGGAAUCUUCGGCAAUGGGCGAAAGCCUGACGGAGCAACGCCGCGUGAGUGAUGAAGGUCUUCGGAUCGUAAAACCCUGUUAUUAGAGAAGAACAAAUGUGUAAGUAACUAUGCACGUCUUGACGGUACCUAAUCAGAAAGCCACGGCUAACUACGUG
rnacentral:rRNA from 1 species